AGCGAACGCUGGCGGUAGGCCUAACACAUGCAAGUCGAACGGCAGCACAGUAAGAGCUUGCUCUUACGGGUGGCGAGUGGCGGACGGGCGAGGAAUACAUCGGAAUCUACUUUUUCGUGGGGGAUAACGUAGGGAAACUUACGCUAAUACCGCAUACGACCUACGGGUGAAAGCAGGGGAUCUUCGGACCUUGCGCGAUUGAAUGAGCCGAUGUCGGAUUAGCUAGUUGGCGGGGUAAAGGCCCACCAAGGCGACGAUCCGUAGCUGGUCUGAGAGGAUGAUCAGCCACACUGGAACUGAGACACGGUCCAGACUCCUACGGGAGGCAGCAGUGGGGAAUAUUGGACAAUGGGCGCAAGCCUGAUCCAGCCAUACCGCGUGGGUGAAGAAGGCCUUCGGGUUGUAAAGCCCUUUUGUUGGGAAAGAAAAGCAGCAGGUUAAUACCCCGCUGUUCUGACGGUACCCAAAGAAUAAGCACCGGCUAACUUCGUG
rnacentral:rRNA from 1 species